CUACGUGCCAGCAGCCGCGGUAAUACGGAGGGUGCGAGCGUUAAUCGGAAUAACUGGGCGUAAAGGGCACGCAGGCGGUGACUUAAGUGAGGUGUGAAAGCCCCGGGCUUAACCUGGGAAUUGCAUUUCAUACUGGGUCGCUAGAGUACUUUAGGGAGGGGUAGAAUUCCACGUGUAGCGGUGAAAUGCGUAGAGAUGUGGAGGAAUACCGAAGGCGAAGGCAGCCCCUUGGGAAUGUACUGACGCUCAUGUGCGAAAGCGUGGGGAGCAAACAGGAUUAGAUACCCUGGUAGUCCACGCUGUAAACGAUGUCGAUUUGGGGGUUGAGCUUUAAGUUUGGCGCCCGUAGCUAACGUGAUAAAUCGACCGCCUGGGGAGUACGGCCGCAAGGUUAAAACUCAAAUGAAUUGACGGAGGCCCGCACAAGCGGUGGAGCAUGUGGUUUAAUUCGAUGCAACGCGAAGAACCUUACCUACUCUUGACAUCCAGAGAACAUUC
rnacentral:rRNA from 1 species